UACGUAGGGGGCAAGCGUUGUCCGGAAUUAUUGGGCGUAAAGCGCGCGCAGGCGGCGAUUUAAGUCUGGUGUUUAAGCCCGGGGCUCAACCCCGGUACGCACUGGAAACUGGGUGGCUGGAGUGCAGGAGAGGGGAGUGGAAUUCCACGUGUAGCGGUGAAAUGCGUAGAUAUGUGGAGGAACACCAGUGGCGAAGGCGACUCUCUGGCCUGUAACUGACGCUGAGGCGCGAAAGCGUGGGGAGCAAACAGG
rnacentral:rRNA from 1 species